rnacentral:rRNA from 1 species
UGGCAGGUCAGCAUACUGCCGUGAAUACGUUCCCGGGCCCUUGUACACACCGCCCGUCACACCAUGAGAGUUGGGGAUACCCGAAGCCUGUGAGCCAACUUAUAGAGGCAGCAGUCGAAGGUAGAAUCAAUGAUUGGGGUGAAGUCGUAACAAGGUACC